rnacentral:rRNA from 1 species
AUAAACGCUGGCGGCGUGCAUGAGACAUGCAAGUCGAACGAACGACCUAGGCUUGCCUGGGAAGUUAGUGGCGAACGGCUGAGUAACGCGUAGGUGACCUGCCCGGAAGUGGGGAAUAACUGCCCGAAAGGGUGGCUAAUACCGCAUGUGGCCACGCGUUCGUUCGUGUGACCAAAGCCGCGAGGCGCUUCCGGAGGGGCCUGCGUUCGAUUAGCUCGUUGGUGGGGUAACGGCUCACCAAGGCGACGAUCGAUAGGUGGUCUGAGAGGAUGAUCACCCAGACUGGGACUGAGACACGGCCCAGACUCCUACGGGAGGCAGCAGUCGGGAAUUUUGCUCAAUGGGCGAAAGCCUGAAGCAGCAACGCCGCGUGAGGGAUGAAGGCCUUCGGGUUGUAAACCUCUUUUCUCAGGGACGAUGAUGACGGUACCUGAGGAAUAAGCCACGGCUAACUACGU